GCUUCUUAGUGAUUGCACUGAUAUCUUCUUCUUGUUGAUCUUGAGAAUUGAAUGCAUCUUGAAUGGCUUGACGAUUUCUUUUAUAAUUAUCCCUCCGCUCUAGCCAGCUCAAUAAUACAUCCAUCUUAGUUGAUAGUGCACACAACUCCUCUAGAACUUCUUCACUUUUAUGGCAUGUCUGGGUGUUGAAUGUCUAAUUCUGAUUUUCUUCCAUCUUUGCCAUAAUAGCUUCAGCUCUUCCAGAGGUGAGUGACAUAAAUGAUCCUUCAGCAGUGGCAUCCAAUUGCUCACAUGACCUUUGAGUUAGUCCAUAAUAGAAUGUCUGCAUGAGCAACCACUUCUUCAUUCCAUGAUGCGGGC
rnacentral:lncRNA from 1 species